GCGUCGGUGGUCUAAUGGCUAUGACUCGAGCCUUCCAAGCUCGGUAUCCGGGUUCAAAACAACGGCGAAGAAAAAGCAGAUUAGAAAGGGCGUUAAAAACAACAAGCGCGAGAGCGGCUUGUCGAUAAAUGCACUAAAAAGCCGCUUGCAUCAAAGCCAAACAACUUCAUCGUUAUGGAAUUCCCGGCCGACGCA
rnacentral:tRNA from 1 species